UACGUAGGGUCCGAGCGUUGUCCGGAAUUAUUGGGUUUAAAGGGUGCGUAGGCGGCUUAUUAAGUCAGGGGUGAAAGACGGUGGCUCAACCAUCGCAGUGCCCUUGAUACUGAUGAGCUUGAAUACACUUGAGGUAGGCGGAAUGUGACAAGUAGCGGUGAAAUGCAUAGAUAUGUCACAGAACACCAAUUGCGAAGGCAGCUUACUAAGGUGCAAUUGACGCUGAGGCACGAAAGCGUGGGGAUCAAACAGG
rnacentral:rRNA from 1 species